ACGCUGGCGGCGUGCCUAAUACAUGCAAGUCGAGCGAAUGRAUUAAGAGCUUGCUCUUAUGAAGUUAGCGGCGGACGGGUGAGUAACACGUGGGUAACCUGCCCAUAAGACUGGGAUAACUCCGGGAAACCGGGGCUAAUACCGGAUAAYAUUUUGAACYGCAUGGUUCGAAAUUGAAAGGCGGCUUCGGCUGUCACUUAUGGAUGGACCCGCGUCGCAUUAGCUAGUUGGUGAGGUAACGGCUCACCAAGGCAACGAUGCGUAGCCGACCUGAGAGGGUGAUCGGCCACACUGGGACUGAGACACGGCCCAGACUCCUACGGGAGGCAGCAGUAGGGAAUCUUCCGCAAUGGACGAAAGUCUGACGGAGCAACGCCGCGUGAGUGAUGAAGGCUUUCGGGUCGUAAAACUCUGUUGUUAGGGAAGAACAAGUGCUAGUUGAAUAAGCUGGCACC
rnacentral:rRNA from 1 species